rnacentral:rRNA from 1 species
CGUGUAGGCGGCCUGCCAAGUCGGGUGUGAAAGCCCUCGGCUCAACCGAGGAAUUGCACCCGAUACUGGCGGGCUAGAGCCCGGGAGGGGGUAGCGGAAUUCCCAGUGUAGCGGUGAAAUGCGUAGAUAUUGGGAAGAACACCAGUGGCGAAGGCGGCUACCUGGACCGGAACUGACGCUGAGGCGCGAAAGCUAGGGGAGCGAAUG